GCCAGUGUGGCAUGAUGGUUUGAGUGUUGGACUAUGACUCUGGAGACAUGGGUUCGAUUCCCUUCUUGAAA